UUGCUGAUCWUAUUUUCCUUCUUAUUCUUGUAUAUUCAUUACUAUAGUGAUAUGGUCUAUUAUUAUAGUGGUAUUUGUUAUUAUGGUGAUAUGGUCCAAACCCUGGUCUUGGUUUGGAGAGUAUUCUUGCUGUGUGUCCUCCUCUGCACUGAUUGUUAAUGGUUGUGUUAGACAUAGGCUACAAGCCUAAAUGGCAUUCAGAUCUGAUCCAGCAUGGUAAUUCCUAUCUGCAGUAAUGGAUAGUGCAGGAGGCAUCAGAGAAAUGAGCAAGUACUUUUUGCCUCCCAUUCCUCUCUCCCUGCCCUGAAGCAUGAAGUUGGUAUAUCUUUUUUUCCCCUACUUGUCAUUGUUUUAAUCUGAAUGUUCCUGUUAUUGAGACUUUUUAUUUUACUGUUUUAAAAUCUGAUUUGUUUUAAUAAUUUAAUCAUACCUUCUGACAAUGAGCUGAUUUCUCAGAAGUUAGCAGACCCUGGGAGCAGGCGUGUUUUGCUAUCACCCGUGUUUGUCUAUGAAAAUAAAUAUGUUUUGUAUUUGUGAUUCUGCUAGCAACGGCCUGCUGGUGGUGUUGGUGAGAAGAAGAUACCAGACAGAUGGCCUUGGAAACCUGAAGCUCUCCGUCUACAAGAAAGAAGUCCAACACCAUCAUCAGCACCGUAA
rnacentral:lncRNA from 1 species